CAUCAUCAGAAACACACUGCUGGCUACACGCAGGUAAUGCUGGCGGCUUGGGAUGGUUUUGGGAGGUGACAGGUUCCCUUUAAAGGGGUUGUGCACAGGAUUUUAUAUUGAUGACCUAUCCACAAGAUAGUAGGGUCAUUUUCUGUGUAGAGCAGCACUUGUAUGUAGAGGAGACACAAUAUGGAUACUGUACAGUACAUGCACGUUCUGACACAGUUUGCGAUCUGUGGGUUAAAACAUCAUUAUUAUGAUUGAAGUACCGUAUAGAUACACAUAAAAGUGAUAAUAUGUAAAUUGAGAACAAUUCCACUUGACAGACGUCCUAUUGUAUACGUUUACCAUGUGUGGCGUUGGUUACCUAGGUAACGUGAUGCUUGUGGUGUUGUAUGCCGGCUAGAUUGACCGGCUGCAAGUGCGCGACCCGAUCAUGUGAUCUGGAUGGAGCGAGUGCUUGUAAUCACCCUUCACCACCGCUGCAAUGGAGACGACGUGUAGUGUAAUGAAGAGGAAACAGCGCUCGCAUGGAGCUGGUCAGAUAUUGAUGACCUUUAGAUAUUGUAUGUAAUAUUGUAGAUCAACUCCAUUUAAAUACCUAGGGCUAAGCUGCAAUGGCACGGAUAACCUUUGGAUAGGGGUGGCACUGUUGUUGGAAACAAGUUGACAGGUUUUUCUAAUCCUGUACCAGUCCUUUAAAAAUGUUUAAUGCUCUUUUUCAGGC